rnacentral:lncRNA from 1 species
UAGGUGGGAUGAGGUAUGUAGGUGUGUCCUGGAAGGUUCAGCAGCUGUCCCCACAGUGGGCCCACAGGAACGGUGGUGUGGACACACUGCUCUUUAAAAGUGCAACAGCCUCAAAAACAAUCGAGGGCACAGGAGAAGUCACUGGAGAGCCAUUGUUUUAUUUAGGAAACAAACUCUGAAGCAGGCCCUGCUGCUCCCCAAAGAUGUGCCCACUCCAAGGACCAGAUUCUCAACACUUCACCUCUUCCCUGACAAACACGAAGUGAGAGUCACCCCCUCUGCCAAGACAGAGGGGUCGCGCCCAGGCCUCUGCUCCAAGCAGCAAUGUCAGGAAGGUCUGGGCUGUGGCAGCUGAGGGAGAGCUCGACACCCACUCCCUGGACACCAACCCAGACGGCAGCCAGGCCUGCGGAGGCAGGGCCAGUCUUCGGGGGCAAGACGCGGCAUGGAGACUCUGCACACACUUAGUCCAAAGGUUGGCUGCAGAAUGUUAAGGUCCCAACAGGACAACAGGGGCAGGUGUCGGCACAGGAGGGUACCGAGCUCGGAGCAAGGCCUCAGAACUGGGACUCCAGUUUCUCUCCCGGGGAAGAAAAGGAGGCGGCACCGAUCCGGACAGAUGAGGGCCAGGCAGCAGCAUCCUGGCAUGACCGCAGCAGGAGGGAGGAGCCAACGGUGCCACGUGGUUCCCAAAUGCCAAGCAUAGCCUGAGAGAGGAGGAAACAGGAGAGAAGGGGAGGCCGGGGGGCCGCUUGGUGCCCAAGAUUUCUCAGACGUCCCAGAGCCCUGACUCUGCUGCCAGCUUGCUUUACAGUGAGGCCAAGGAAGGAGCCACGGAGGGUGUGCUGGCCCUAGGAGCAGGAUUCCUGUGUGUUCACUAAGCUUGCAGCAUCAAGAAGCCACCAGCCAGCAUGGACAUGAGGGAAAACAAAACACUCAUGGGAAGAAGCGGGACCAGGCUCCAGCCGCAAAGUCGCCCUUCAUGCUUCACGCAAGAAAAAGGCCUCAGAGGGAGCUGUGAGGACAUGAUCAAAUCACUGUGCCAGCUGGUCACCAGGGGGCCACCACUCCAAGGAACCCUGAAGAUGGUGGACAGGAAUUAGGAAGUGUUGAACCGUCUUAGAUGGAAUGCUGUUCAUAUGAAAGCAAGACGCUCUAUCCUAGAAUUGCUUUUAUCAUUUGGUUCUAUUGCCACUUUUCGAAAAUUGUGUGACGUGAAGCAUGCAGAAAUAAAAAGAAGUAACACAGAAAUUCUCAGGUCCAUCAGCCAAGGGGGCCUUGCUGACUGCAGGCGGAGGUCUCAGGCCCGCCCAGCCCUGGCGUCUCCGCAGGGCUCUGACCCCGAGACAGCUCCACAGCCCCCUCUAUUCUCCCCCGGCGCUCACAAUUCAACAACAUGGACUUCAUAUUUGCCAUUUGACAACUUGCCUUUUUCUGAUAGGGCUCCAGUUGUGAAGUUAGCAAGAGCCUGAAGGCUUUUUUAAAAGGAAAGAAAAAAUGUAUAUUUUUCUAAAAAAAAAAAAUUCUAAGGGUGGUAAAUUCCCUUAAGGUAAAUCUGCUUCCCAGCUAAUGCAAGAGCUGCAAGCAGCUGGGAAAUGGGUGUUGUAUUGUCUAGCCUGGCUCUGGGAACGGAUUCAUAGCUGCUGCCUGGAAGGUUAAAAUGUGCAGAGGAUUCGUGGAGAACAAGGAGAAAACCAAGACAGUCAGUUCGGUUUGGUUCCUGAGGGGGAAGCCCUGGGCUCAUCAUGGACGCCUAGAGGAGCGGGCGGCAGAGGCAGCUCCAGGCAGCUCCCGAGGGGAACCUGGGUAUUUGGAAAUCCUGGGGGAGUAGCUGAGGGAGGUGAUUUAGAAGGUGAUACUUUGGGCCUCGUGUCUUUUCUUUGGCUCUCUGUUGCUGGAGCAGAAAGACAGAGCAGUCUCAGGCAUGCUUCCCUCCUCUCCUGGGCCAGCCUCGGAUCAGCUGAGAGCCACAGCAGGGAGGGUGGGAAACCCAGGCUGGUGUUCCUGAGACAGCUCCUCCCGCCUGCCCCUGUCUCCUUCUGCUGAGUAGAAACAAAGCACUUCUCCCCACGUGGCAACGUAAAUCAGGGAUGUGUCUUCAUCUCUAGUGAUAAAUAGGACUUUGUUUCAUUCAUUCUGAGGUGUUUAGAAAAGAACUGUUAAAAAAAAAAAAGCCAGAUUGUCCCUCAAAUUGUUCCUUCAAUGCCUGGACACCUUUCUCCAGCCCUAGCAGGGCAAACGUCUGGGGAUGUCAGACCGGACAGGAAAACCUUGAACUCCUUCAGAGCAGGAGGCUUUCCAGAAUUCCAGGACGUCCCAACUCUCCCGCCGUGAGUGGCAGCUCAGCAGACCCGGAAGGAAGUGCGACCACGACUUUCCGCACUGAGGUCCUCAGCAAAUGUUGAUCCACGGGCUCCACGGCGCAGCCAGCACCGACUUCUCCACCCACUGGCCACCGAACCCUGUUCUCGCCAAGGCCUCCUUUGUCCACGCCUCCGAGGAGCUCGGCCCGGUGGUCACAAGUGCAGCCAAGAAUGAGGGGCUAUUUGGGUCAGGCAAGCCUGCCAUGUUUCGGGAAAGUUGCCCCGGGGUUAGGAAACGCUCCAUCUGAGGGAAAUGGAGCUCCCCACCGGUUCUUGGAGCCCAGGCGUCGCCCACCCUGCUGGUUUUCUCUUUGGUGGGAUUGUCUUUGAAUUCCAUUGUUGGCCUAGUUUCCUGAGCCAAACCUCAAACAGCUUGGCUGAGAGAGCACAGAACAGGAAAAUCAGCUCGGAGAGAGGCUGGUCAUAAGGAAAUAGUCACUCGGCCGAUGACGUCCACAGUCCCCUGACGUCUGUCCCCAGCAUUGAGCAGCGGAAGCCACAGAUUCUUGAAGCGGGAAUUCAAGUCCUCAGGCAAAGGCGCAUUGUGACUGUCUGAUCAGCAUUUCCUAUUGAUCUCUUUACAAAUUACCUUUGUUCUCUAAGGCCAGGCAGGCAUCUGGAGGCUGGAGCGGGAGGGCCAUCGGGUGAGGCCCCGGCCAGCGCCUCAGACUGCCAGAGAGCCUCAGCCCCGCCCCACACCGUCCCAGGUCCCUGCCUGGAGGAUCUGGAGCUGGGGACUGCUGUGAGGUGGACACGGUGCAGCUGAUUCCAGGGCGCCCUGAGCUGAAGCAACACCGUGCAACCAGUCGCAGGUGCUCAGGACGAGCCGUACCAAGAGGGACGUUCCUCUGCCAGAUCAAACGUGGGGUGGUUGUUCGGCCCAAGGCUGCCCGUGCUGUUCCCUGCACCCCAGUAAGCCAGGUUAUGGGGUGAGCUCUGGCCCUGC